AACGAACGCUGGCGGCAUGCCUAACACAUGCAAGUCGAACGAGACCUUCGGGUCUAGUGGCGCACGGGUGCGUAACGCGUGGGAACCUGCCCUUAGGUUCGGAAUAACUCCCCGAAAGGGGUGCUAAUACCGGAUAAUGUCUGCGGACCAAAGAUUUAUCGCCUUUGUAUGGGCCCGCGUUGGAUUAGCUAGUUGGUAGGGUAAAAGCCUACCAAGGCAGCGAUACAUAGCUGGUCUGAGAGGAUGAUCCGCCACACUGGGACUGGGACACGGUCCAGACUCUUACGGAAUGCAGCAGUGGGGGAUCUUGGACUAUCGCCUAAAUCCUGAUCCACCUAUGCCGCUUGAGUGAUUAAGUCCUUAGAGUUGUAAAGCUCUUUUACCCGCGAUUAUAAUGACAGUACCCGGAGAAUAAGCUCCGGCUAACUCCGUG
rnacentral:rRNA from 1 species